rnacentral:ncRNA from 4 species
UAUUGCACUCGUCCCGGCCUUU